CAGCAGCCACGGUAAUACGAAGGGGGCUAGCGUUGCUCGGAAUUACUGGGCGUAAAGGGCGCGUAGGCGGACAGUUCAGUCGGGGGUGAAAGCCCGGGGCUCAACCUCGGAAUUGCCUUCGAUACUGGCUGUCCUGAGUAUGAGAGAGGUGUGUGGAACUCCGAGUGUAGAGGUGAAAUUCGUAGAUAUUCGGAAGAACACCAGUGGCGAAGGCGACACACUGGCUCAUUACUGACGCUGAGGCGCGAAAGCGUGGGGAGCGAACAGGAUUAGAUACCCCGGUAGUCCCUGUCUCUUAUAC
rnacentral:rRNA from 1 species